rnacentral:rRNA from 1 species
GACGUAGGAUGCAAGCGUUGUCCGGAUUUAUUGGGCGUAAAGAGUUCGUAGGCUGUUUGUUAAGUCUGAUGUUAAAGACUGGGGCUCAACCUCGGAAAUGCAUUGGAUACUGGCAGACUGGAGUGCAGUAGAGGCUAGUGGAAUUCCCAGUGUAGCGGUGAAAUGCGUAGAUAUUGGGAAGAACACCGGUGGCGUAGGCGACUAGCUGGGCUGUAACUGACGCUGAGGAACGAAAGCGUGGGGAGCAAACAGG